UACGGAGGAUGCAAGCGUUAUCCGGAAUUAUUGGGCGUAAAGCGUCCGCAGGCGGCUAGAUAAGUCUGCUUUCAAAGAGUGGGGCUCAACCCCAUAGGGGGAGUGGAAACUGUUUAGCUAGAGUAUGGUAGGGGCAGAGGGAAUUCCCAGUGUAGCGGUGAAAUGCGUAGAUAUUGGGAAGAACACCAGUGGCGAAGGCGCUCUGCUGGACCGAGACUGACGCUGAGGGACGAAAGCUAGGGGAGCGAAAGGGAUUAGAUACCCCUGUAGUCCUAGCUGUAAACGAUGGACACUAGGUGUUGCGCGUAUCGACCCGUGCAGUGCCGUAGCUAACGCGUUAAGUGUCCCGCCUGGGGAGUACGCACGCAAGUGUGAA
rnacentral:rRNA from 1 species